AUGGCCAGCUGCCUCUAUGUGGCCACGCAGAUCAAAAUCCUCCUUUCUGACUGGCAAAUAACGGGUCAGGGGACGAGACUAAAAUAAAGGAAGUAGUGACAUGUCUAAUACUGAUUCAGAAAACUACUAAAUUUGCUGGCAGAAGAUAUUUGGGUAAGCAAAAUUAUUUUAGAGUUUGAUAAACGGAAUGAAGUUCACACUUUUAAUUUUUAUUUAGUCUGCAAUCCUACUUAAGACAAAUAUUCAUAUAUGAUGUCCUUCUAAAAAUAUGAAUGGAUUUGCUAAAAGAAAAGAUUUUAACAUUAGCAUGACAAUGAAAAACUCAAAAUAAUGUCUCAAUUCAACAGUAAUUCAAGGAAAAAUUGUUUUGCAAAAAAAAAAAA